rnacentral:rRNA from 1 species
AUUGAACGCUGGCAGCAGGCCUAACACAUGCAAGUCGAGCGGAUGAAGGGAGCUUGCUCCUGGAUUCAGCGGCGGACGGGUGAGUAAUGCCUAGGAAUCUGCCUGGUAGUGGGGGAUAACGUCCGGAAACGGGCGCUAAUACCGCAUACGUCCUGAGGGAGAAAGUGGGGGAUCUUCGGACCUCACGCUAUCAGAUGAGCCUAGGUCGGAUUAGCUAGCUGGUGGGGUAAAGGCCUACCAAGGCGACGAUCCGUAACUGGUCUGAGAGGAUGAUCAGUCACACUGGAACUGAGACACGGUCCAGACUCCUACGGGAGGCAGCAGUGGGGAAUAUUGGACAAUGGGCGAAAGCCUGAUCCAGCCAUGCCGCGUGUGUGAAGAAGGUCUUCGGAUUGUAAAGCACUUUAAGUUGGGAGGAAGGGCAGUAAGUUAAUACCUUGCUGUUUUGACGUUACCAACAGAAUAAGCACCGGCUAACUUCGUG